rfam:Cyberlindnera jadinii strain CBS1600 genome assembly, contig: CJ5
AACAUAUUUUAACUACACUUCCGGAUUACCAGCGUAUUCACGGUAUUUUGAUCUUUACGGUCCAUCUACCACAGAUGUGUUAGUUAUGCACAAAUGGCUGGAAGAAGAGUGAUUUUCACUGUCACCAUGUAUAAUCCGGCUGUUGGCUUCUUCUUCUACGGCUCUUGUUAGUUGUAGGGAAUAAGGUCUGAUAGCUGGUUCGCUUGUGGUGAACAUUU